rnacentral:rRNA from 1 species
CCUACGGGAGGCAGCAGUAGGGAAUUUUGCGCAAUGGGCGAAAGCCUGACGCAGCAACGCCGCGUGAGGGAUGACGGUCCUAUGGAUUGUAAACCUCUUUUGUCGGGGAGCAAGGCCCGCCACGUGUGGCUGGAAGGAGAGUACCCGAAGAAAAAGCAUCGGCUAACUCCGUGCCAGCAGCCGCGGUAAUACGGAGGAUGCGAGCGUUAUCCGGAUUUAUUGGGUUUAAAGGGUGCGUAGGCGGAAGGUUAAUUCAGCGGUCAAAUGUCGGUGCUCAACACCGGCCUGCCGUUGAAACUGGUCUUCUUGAGUGAGCGAGAAGUAUGCGGAAUGCGUGGUGUAGCGGUGAAAUGCGUAGAUAUCACGCAGAACUCCGAUUGCGAAGGCAGCAUACCGGCGCUCAACUGACGCUGAGGCACGAAAGCGUGGGGAUCGAACAGGAUUAGAUACCCUUGUAGUC